GGUUGGCAAAGAGCUGCUACUAAAGGCCUUGAAGAACAUUUUAAGUACAGGGAUAGCAUGCUGCUUUGAUUACUUCCAUCUGAAAUAGCAGCAGGUGAGCUCCUGUCUUAAUCACGGCUGAAACCCCAGAGUCCAGAACGGUGUCUGGCACUCAAUAAAUAUAUUUGUUGGGGCUUCCCUGGUGGCGCAGUGGUUAAGAAUCCCCCUGCCAAUGCAGGGGACACGGGUUCAAGCCCUGGUCCGGGAAGUUCCCACAUGCUGCGGAGCAACUGAACCCGUACACCACAACUACUGAGCCUGCGCUCUAGAGCCUGCAAGCCACAACUACUGAGCCGUGUGCUGCAACUACUGAAGCCCACGUGCCUAGAGCCCAUGCUCUGCAACGAGAAGCUACCGCAAUGAGAAGCCCAUGCACUGCAACGAAGAGUAGCCCCUGCUCACCACAACUAGAGAAAGCCCCGCACGCAGCAACAAGGACCCAAUGCAGCCAU